rnacentral:rRNA from 1 species
AAACUAACAAGGAUUCCCCUAGUAGCGGCGAGCGAGAGGGAAAAGCCCAGCACCGAACCUCGCGCCCUCGGGUGUCGCGGAAUGUGGUGUUCAGGAGGACCGUGCGCGUCUGUCCGGUAUCGUCCAAGUCUCCAUGAAUGGGGCCAGCAACCCAGAGAGGGUGUCAGGCCCGUGGUGACGAGCCGCGACCGUGCAUUGGGUCUCUCCUUAGAGUCGGGUUGCUUGAGAGUGCAGCCCUAAGCGGGAGGUAAACUCCUUCUAAGGCUAAAUACGGCCACGAGACCGAUAGCAAACAAGUACCGCGAGGAAAGUUGAAAAGAACUUUGAAGAGAGAGUUCAAGAGUGCGUGAAACCGUUCAGGGGGUUAAACGGGUGGGCCCUCGAAGGUCGAACGGUCCCCAUCACGGCUCUCGUUGAGUCGGCCCGCGGCGCGCGCGAUUCCUCUCGGAACGCCGCCGCGGUUCGCCGGCUUGCGGGGGCUGUUAGCUGGGGGCCCAGUAGGACUCCGCAACCGGCUGGCGGGCCGUCAGAAGGGUUCUGGAGGAAGCCUCCUCGCGGGGUGGAUUCCGGGAUUUCCGGACGGUCCCGUCGGCCGUGAACCGAAAUUUCUCUCCUCACGGGGAGAAUGAGCGGAGAGUAGUGUCGGGUCCCACCCGACCCGUCUUGAAACACGGACCAAGGAGUCUAACAUGUGCGCGAGUCGUCGGGUACUACAAAACCCGAAGGCGCAAUGAAAGUGAAGGCCACCCUCGUUGGCGGCUGAGGGGAGAUCCCGUUCUGCUCCGGUAGCUCGGGCGCAUCCCCGGGCGUCGAAGCCGCGUCGCCGGCUAGACGCACCAAGAGCGUACACGUUGGGACCCGAAAGAUGGUGACCUAUGCCUGACCAGGACGAAGCCAGGGGAAACCCUGGUGGAGGUCCGCAGCGAUUCUGACGUGCAAAUCGAUCGUCUGAGUUGGGUAUAGGGGCGAAAGACUAAUCGAACCAUCUAGUAGCUG